UUACAUUACUUUUGUAUCUACUCUUUAGUUGCAUCUGCAUUGUUACAUUACAUUUAAUAGUAGGUGUUGCAUACUCAAUUUGGAGGAGUUCGAAGAAAAUGGUUGAUCUUGCUGCACACCCCAUCAGAUAAAAGUAGACAAGCAAUGAGUGUACCGCCCAGAGGUUGCCACGCGGAUGCUCUUUGGACUACGAUAUGGACAUGAAGGCAUUUGUUUUAGUGUCAAAUAUUACAUACUAAUGCCCGCAAAGUAUCGUUGUGUAUUAUA